AAGAUGGCGGCAGAAGCAGCUGGUGGGAAAUACAGAAGCACAGUCAGCAAAAGCAAAGACCCCUCGGGGCUGCUCAUCUCUGUGAUCAGCAGCACUCACUGAGAAAGGCGUCUUGUUUCCUGGACUUUGGGGUGUAAGGCCUUGGAGUCCGGAGAUUCCUGUCACGAGUUGCAGAUUUGUGUUUUCACACUCUGGAUACUUUCAACCACCUGUGCGUGGCCACAGCCACAAAUACAAGAAUCUGCAGUGAGCUGGUAGGAGGACUGGGUUUGAAGGCACACAUCGGUUUUCAAUUUUUUGCCCUGCCUCCGCAUUCUGGUCCAUUCCUUAAAAAACAGAACCAAACCAAUUUCAAAUUAUCCUCCAUGCACUGCCCCUCUGCACCUCCCAGAAGAUUAGGGUGGGGGUGGAGUGGGAGCGGUGGAUCUUUUAGGAGCUUUUUUUUAAAAAAGCGAAAUAUAUUGAGGAUGGGGGAACCCUUUCAAGAAUCUUGGAUAUGAUGCAGGUACUGACUAAAACCAAUCUAAAUAAAAUUUAUUAUGGCACGUUUUUUACGUUGUUGGCAUUU
rnacentral:lncRNA from 1 species